rnacentral:misc_RNA from 1 species
UUUUGUGCUUCAGCUUCGCAAGAGCACCAAUGCUGUAAGCUGGAUGUGCCGAACCCCAGCAAAGCUGGGCUUGACCCAUAGUUUCGCCUCCUGAAUUUCACUCGAAAAAGUGAAAGUUAUCAGGUAGACGACACCACAGAUCAGCACUUGAGGCUUGACCCACAGAAGCACAAGCUUAGACUAUCAAACCUUUCAGUUUGACGACACCCUACUACACCCCUUGUGUCGCACCAUAUGAAGACUUGCUUCAACCUAACCCCAUUUAUGGCUGGGCUUUCUCAUAGCUUACCUGGUUGAUAACCAAAACACUUAGGCACUCGUUUCGGGUAUGGUCUUUUGUAGCACUCCCCGUUUAGACCUACAUACACUGUUUGGCGAACAAUCACAUAUUGACCACUCGGAUCAAUGGCUCCACACCAAACACCGGACACAAUCGGUUUAAACAAAAUAUGUAUGCUUAAGGAUCUGAAAAGGCUAGGAAAUUUUUGAGUUGUAACUAAGAGGUAAGUUUGACUUUCUGCGAAAUGUGAGUUAGAUUUCUACUUACAAAUCGUAAUCGAGUUCUGACCAACUUGAUUACAAGACUCAAAGAAGUCCCCACUUCUUUUAGUCCUUCAAAGCCAGCCUGCAAAGCUGGUUUUGUCGUAUCUG